GGGGAUACCGCUCGUGUGUAACUUUACAAUGUGGUAAGAGAGUCAAUGAUAUUUUCAAAAUCUUCAUUGUCAUAACCUAAUAAACUAGUUCUAAAAUAAUGAAAUCGUCUAUCUCUUAAUUUAUACAAGUUCAGUUUUAUGCCUUCAAAAACUUUAGCAUUUCUCUCUUUCCAAAUAACCCAAAAAAUGGUCAAAUGAAUUAAAUUUGCUACUUUUCUAUUGACAUCUAUCCAUUCCCAAGCUCAUAACUCCCCCGAACAAUCCUAGAAAUUACCCAAUUAAUUCCCAAAAGUCCAUAGAUCAUGCUCCAAAGUUCAUAUGUCUCUGGGCACCAAAGAAGUACGUGAUUACAAAACUAUUUCACUCUCAAAUAGAGGUAACAAUAAUUUACUAUGAUCUGACCAUUUUUUCUGAGUUUAUCAAUGGUGAGUGUACUUCCUUUAUAGGCUUCCCACACGAAAAAAGAAAUUCUCAAAGUUAUCCUCACAUUCCGCAUUUGUUUAGUUGGGAAAUUUUGUAAAACCUCCUCAUUGUCACCACCAGCUAUCUGUAAUACGAACCCACAAAAAAAUUACCACUUUCUUCCAGCUUCCACACCACCUUAUCCUCACAAUCUUUUAUUUCUUGGGCCUCUAAAAGUGUUAAUAAUUCAACACACUCAUUUAUUUCCCAAUCAUUUAGGUUCCUUAAAAUAUUAACUAGCCAUUCAAUAUUGUUGUUAUUCGUUCGAUAAGCUUCAUUAACCAGCAUCUCUUUAGAUUGAGCAAUCUCAUAAAUCUUUGGGAAUUUCACCACAAGAGAAUCAAUCCCAAUCCAGACAUGAAGCCAAAAGCACAUUUUGCUACCAUUACCAAGUUGUCAUUUUAUACAUACCUUGAAUUUUGGCCAUUGCAGCAGGAUUUUCUUUCAAGGAUCUCUAUUGCGGUCUACUGGUGUGAGUUCUGCUUUUGCCAGAAGGCAAAACUGCAAUAGCAAUUCUCCCCAUCUUGGAGCAACUAUGUUCUUCCAUAAUCUAUCACCAUCCAUUAAAAAUAUCCAUAACCAUUAGCCUUGUAGGCCGAUAUUCAUGCUAACAAAAGAUCUUAAGCCUAGUCCACCACUGACCAUUGGUCUUUUAAUUAUUGGAAAAAAUUAAUCCUUAAAGCAUGCACAAUCUCAUCAAAGUAAAAGCAGAAAGAAAAGAACACAAGGAUUUUACGUGAUUUGGCAGUGUACCUAUAUCCACGAGCAAUACCGACAAGAAAGAAUUUUACUAUGUAAUCUGAGAGUACAUCACCAAUAGGUUAGCAAACCUAUUUAUAGAGAGACUAACAGAAUUUUUCACAAAUAAAAACUCUCUACGAUAUACAUCAAUUAUUCUCUAGGA
rnacentral:lncRNA from 1 species